CCUACGGGUGGCUGCAGUCGAGGAUCUUCGGCAAUGGGCGCAAGCCUGACCGAGCGACGCCGCGUGCGCGAUGAAGGCCUUCGGGUUGUAAAGCGCUGUCGAGGGGGAGGAAAGCCCGAAAGGGUCUGACCUAUCCCUGGAGGAAGCACGGGCUAAGUUCGUGCCAGCAGCCGCGGUAAGACGAACCGUGCAAACGUUGUUCGGAAUCACUGGGCUUAAAGGGCGCGUAGGCGGGCAAGCCAGUCCGGGGUGAAAUCUUUCGGCCCAACCGGAAAAGGGCCUCGGAGACGACUUGUCUAGAGGGAGGUAGGGGCAGACGGAACUUCCGGUGGAGCGGUGAAAUGCGUUGAUAUCGGAAGGAACGCCGGUGGCGAAAGCGGUCUGCUGGACCUCUACUGACGCUGAGGCGCGAAAGCCAGGGGAGCGAACGGGAUUAGAUA
rnacentral:rRNA from 1 species